rnacentral:lncRNA from 1 species
UGAUCGAGUGCCGGUCUCGGCUUGUUUAGAAAAUGGGUCGUGACAAACUUAGUACCCAUAGGUGGUGUAUUUGCAAAUUUCACUCUGCAAUCUUUCCCAAGGAACAGAGAUCUAUGUGGAAUGUACAUAUUUGAGGUUCAUGCUUUGUGCUGUCACUAGUUCUGGACAACAAUCAAAGCCUAAAAAGCUUGUGAUAAAAGUCAUUGCUCCAGUUGUUAUUUCAUCUUAUCUACUAUUUUUGGAACUCCUGGUUACAUUGUACCUAAUUCUAAUCUUCAUAAAUACUAAUCUAAUAUCAUGCCUUAAAGAAAACCAGUUAAUGAAAAAUCAUCCUCUCAGAAAGAGGCAGCAAAAAAAUAGAGCUCUUCAACAAUUUACCAUUUUCACUACACAAUCUACGGAUGAGAAGUAGAUCGAUAUGUUUCAUAACCAUCACUUAGCAAUAUAUGAUACCUUACCUCACAUCCUUGAUUGUUUAUGUGCAGGACCAUGAACACUAAAGUUCCAGCCUUACGCGAAGCAACUAAUCAGACAGUAUCAGCUUGCAUUCGCUAUGAAAUCAGGCCUUUAUUUGUCUCAGACCUUUUCUGGAAAUCAAGAUCACCUCUAGAUAUGAUACCUUACUUCACAUCCUUGAUUGUUCCAUCCUUGUCCGCCAAAAAGAAGAGCCACAUUAUCCCAACCAUGCAAAAAUAGAGACAAAGACAAGGAAACAAAGUCAUGUUGACUGGAAUAAAACAAGCAUGCACAUCAACCAAAUUCAAUGUUCCAAAGUCUAACUCAACUUUUUCUCCUUUCUUGAUUUCUCAAGGGUCAAGACAAUGACGCGCAAAACUAAUCAAGUUCAAUGGGGCAGGCAACUAUACAAAUCAAUUAUUUGGAAGCAGCAAAUGAUCAAAUUCAGAGAUCCACUCUCUUUAUUCCGGCCAGAGAAUUGCUUUCUAGUUGGUUAUAAAAAGAGAGUUCCCAAAAAGAAGUAAUCUCUUCUUGCUCAACUUUAGAAGCAAUCAAUGUCAACAACCAAAGAUAAAAUAAAGGAUCAAUCAAUCAAAAUCAGAGAGUACUAUCAUCAGAGGCAACUUAUUUUCAUGAGUAGAUUUCAUUAAAAAAAAGAACAACAAUAUUUAUCCACUAUCCAGGCACUUUGUCCACCUAUUGAAGCAUUCAAUAUUUAUUCAUAGACUGAAAUAAAGUUAUUUAACAUUGAGCUAUCAAUUUGUAUGACAUCUUGAAUAACUGACAAUAAAACAUAAUGUUUGAUAUCUAAGGCUAAUAAGCAUUAUUAAUUUAUAAAGAAAGAGCUAAACGAGGGAAGAGCAAUGUGAAUAUUCAUGCCAUUAAGCAAAAGGAUAGUUUUUUCCCGUCAAUGUUUAACUAGGAUUUAUUCAUACCAUGAAAUGAUUUCCACAUAACACAAUAAGAAUAAUGACCAUAAAACAAUUAUAACAUCAUUUUAAAUGUAAUAGUUCAACUUAAGGAGUUAGAUAUAUCCCAAAGACCACAAGAUAACCCCACAAUAUGAUCAUAGAGCAUUGUUUGGUCAGCUUCCAAAAAGUUUAACUAAUUUACUCUAAGCAAAAGGUGAAAUCCUAAGCAUUAUGAAUGACGAUACAACAAAAAACAGCAGGACGAAAGCCCAAACCUAACAUACAGAAACAUUAUUGCUACCUAUCAACUUCCCAAGGAAAACAAGCCAUCAGUGCAAAGUCCACACCAGAUCCAUCGGCGGGAUCGUAGAUUGUCUAUUCUCAUGAAGCACUUGUUCUCUACAUCAUACCACUCAAGAUGACUUUCAGAAUUCACAUUAUUUAUUACAUUCAUAAGAAUUUUCCCUUCCAUGCGAUCCAUGAGUCGGAUGAGUCAGAACCAGGCUCGAAAUGCUUUGGAUAUGUCGAAGAAAGGCCGGAGAGGCCAUGGACCCCUGAAUCGGCGAAGAUCUGAACGGACCUCAUUCGAGGUCAGACCUCAAAACUUCGAACAUCAAACGUUUAAGAGUGGAGGGUAGUGAGAACAGGCCAUUCAUGGCCUGAGAAGCCAUGGAUUCCGGUGAGAUGGUGUUGAAAAAUGGUAGAAGAGAACUAGGGUUUCGGAAAGUUUGAGAGAGUUUGAGAGACGGGAGGUUUCAAGGGCGGCGGGUCAGGUGAGAAUGAGGGGAUUAG